UCCCUGGUGGUCCAAUAGUUAGGACUCGGUACUUUGAUUGUUGUGGUCUGGGUUCAGCCCUAGUUAGGGAA
rnacentral:tRNA from 1 species